rnacentral:rRNA from 1 species
AUUGAACGCUGGCGGCAUGCCUAACACAUGCAAGUCGAACGGCAGCACAGUAAAGAUUUCGGUCUUUAUGGGUGGCGAGUGGCGGACGGGUGAGUAAUGCGUAGGAAUCUGUCCUGGAGAGUAGGAUAACCCGAGGAAACUCGGGCUAAUACUGCAUGAUAUCGAGAGAUCAAAGGCAGGGGACCCUACGGGGCCUUGCGCACUAGGACGAGCCUACGUCGGAAUAGGUGGUUGGUGGGGUAAAGGCCUACCAAGGCGACGAUCCGUAGCUGGUCUGAGAGGAUGACCAGCCACACUGGGACUGAGACACGGCCCAGACUCCUACGGGAGGCAGCAGUGGGGAAUCUUGGACAAUGGGGGAAACCCUGAUCCAGCGAUGCCGCGUGUGUGAAGAAGGCCUUCGGGUUGUAAAGCACUUUAGUUGGGGAAGAAAAGUAAUGAGUGAAUAACUGAUUGCUCUGACGGUACCCAAAGAAUAAGCACCGGCUAACUCUGUGCCAGCAGCCGCCGUAA